rnacentral:rRNA from 1 species
GGUAUGAGUGUGUAAGAGCGCAUGGUGGAUGCCUUGGCAUCAGGAGCCGAUGAAGGACGUGGAAAUCUGCGAUAAGCCUCGGGGAGCCGAUAAACGGGCUGUGAUCCGAGGGUCUCCGAAUGGGGAAACCCCGCCACAUGAGAGUGUGGUGACCCGCAUCUGAAUAUAUAGGGUGUGUGGAGGGAACGCGGGGAAGUGAAACAUCUCAGUACCCGUAGGAAGAGAAAAUAAAAUAUGAUUCCGGGAGUAGUGGCGAGCGAAACUGGAAGAGCCUAAACCGUGUCAGUGUCAAGCGUGCUGGUGUUGCUGACGUGGUGUUGUGGGGUAUGCGUGUCUCACCCAGCAUGGUGGGGACGUUGAUGUGUGUUACGUGUAGUCGAAGCUGGUGGGAAACAGUACCGGAGUGGGUGAGAGUCCCGUAGACGAAACAUGUGACCCCGACGUUGUGCAUAUGCCCGAGUAGCACGGUACUCGUGGAAUGUCGUGUGAAUCUGCCAGGACCACCUGGUAAGGCUAAAUACUUCCUGAUGACCGAUAGCGGAUAGUACCGUGAGGGAAUGGUGAAAAGUACCCCGGGAGGGGAGUGAAAUAGUAC